GCUGUCUUUAAAAUUGGGAACAGGAAUGCGGGAAUGGAGAAAUACGGGAACGGGGAAUGCGCGAAUGUAGGUUAACGAAUUUUUCUUGAAACAGUCUAGCCAAAGAAAUAUUUAAAUACGUGUUGAAAGGAAAACCACUGUAUUGCAAUUAUUUAAAUGAAAGUGUUGGCGUGCACAGACCAGUUUAUUAAUAUGACUUCGAAAACAAGAAGAUAGUCGAACUACGG